rnacentral:rRNA from 1 species
AGCGAACGCUGGCGGCAGGCUUAACACAUGCAAGUCGAACGGGCAUCUUCGGAUGUCAGUGGCAGACGGGUGAGUAACACGUGGGAACGUACCCUUCGGUUCGGAAUAACUCAGGGAAACUUGAGCUAAUACCGGAUACGCCCUUUUGGGGAAAGGUUUACUGCCGAAGGAUCGGCCCGCGUCUGAUUAGCUUGUUGGUGGGGUAACGGCCUACCAAGGCGACGAUCAGUAGCUGUUCUGAGAGGAUGAUCAGCCACACUGGGACUGAGACACGGCCCAGACUCCUACGGGAGGCAGCAGUGGGGAAUAUUGGACAAGGGGCGCAAGCCUAAUCCAGCCAUGCCGCGUGAGUGAUGAAGGCCUUAGGGUUGUAAAGCUCUUUUGUCCGGGACGAUAAUGACGGUACCGGAAGAAUAAGCCCCGGCUAACUUCGUG